UGGGGAAUAUUGCACAAUGGGCGCAAGCCUGAUGCAGCCAUGCCGCGUGUGUGAAGAAGGCCUCGGGUUGUAAAGCACUUUCAGCGAGGAGGAAGGUGGUGAGCUUAAUACGCUCAUCAAUUGACGUUACUCGCAGAAGAAGCACCGGCUAACUCCGUGCCAGCAGCCGCGGUAAUACGGAGGGUGCAAGCGUUAAUCGGAAUUACUGGGCGUAAAGCGCACGCAGGCGGUUUGUUAAGUCAGAUGUGAAAUCCCCGGGCUCAACCUGGGAACUGCAUUUGAAACUGGCAAGCUAGAGUCUCGUAGAGGGGGGUAGAAUUCCAGGUGUAGCGGUGAAAUGCGUAGAGAUCUGGAGGAAUACCGGUGGCGAAGGCGGCCCCCUGGACGAAGACUGACGCUCAGGUGCGAAAGCGUGGGGCAGCAAACAGGAUUAGAUACCCUGGUAGUCACGCUGUAAACGAUGUCGAUUUUGGAGGUUGUGCCCUUGAGGCGUGGCUUCCGGAGCUAACGCGUUAAAUCGACCGCCUGGGGAGUACGGCCGCAAGGUUAAAACUUAAAGG
rnacentral:rRNA from 1 species